rnacentral:rRNA from 1 species
AUUGAACGCUGGCGGCAUGCCUUACACAUGCAAGUCGAACGGCAGCGCGGGGCAACCUGGCGGCGAGUGGCGAACGGGUGAGUAAUAUAUCGGAACAUACCCUAGAGUGGGGGAUAACGUAGCGAAAGUUACGCUAAUACCGCAUACGCACUAAGGUGGAAAGUGGGGGAUUCGCAAGAACCUCAUGCUCAUGGAGUGGCCGAUAUCUGAUUAGCUAGUUGGUGAGGUAAAGGCUCACCAAGGCGACGAUCAGUAGCUGGUUUGAGAGAACGACCAGCCACACUGGAACUGAGACACGGUCCAGACUCCUACGGGAGGCAGCAGUGGGGAAUUUUGGACAAUGGGGGGCAACCCUGAUCCAGCAAUGCCGCGUGAGUGAAGAAGG